rnacentral:misc_RNA from 1 species
AAAAUACUAACAUAUUAUGAUUAAAACAAAGCAAAAAGCACUAAAAACAUAUUAAACACUUGUGAUUACAUCUUAUAGUAAUUAAAGAUGUCAAUUCCACAAUAAUUAAUAUAUAGAGUAUUUGAUAUUUAAUCAAGCUUGAGCUAGACGACUAAUAUCAUAAGGAUAUGCAUCAGAUGAUUUUUGAGCUCUAUAUGAUCUCCUCCCGACAACUAUAUUUGCAGCUUCAGUUGGAUGAAAUGCAUCCCAAAAU